GGGCUAUAGCUCAGUGGUAGAGCAUUUGCAUGCCCAAAGGCUCAGGUUUAAUUCCUGACAUCUCCA